GGGAACCAAGACCAAUCAAGAUAAUGCGUGACCAGUCUGCACCAUUUGUUAACUGAAUGUAUUAAGUGGUGGCUUCUGGACCCCUGAUCAGUUGACUACAUCAUUCACUAUAAAUUGUUCAGCUAUAGCCAAUUUUUCAAUCCUGAAAUGUUUUAAAUGAUAGUUGUCUGAACUUAGCAGUUGUUUGCACGUGUCUUUGCACGUGUGUGACACUAAAAUGAAUGAACAACUUGCUUUGCAUUGUGAGGCAUAGGUGAAGUUGGAGUCCAAUUUUAGGAUUCUCCUUUUUUUUUUUAAAACAACAUCUUUUUGAGACAGAGCCUCACUAUGCAGUUCAGGCUGGCCUUGAGCUCUUUUUGUAGCCCAGGCUGGUCUCAAAUAUACAAGGAUUCUCCUGGCUCUGCCUCCAGGCAUGUACCUCCAUAUUCAGCAAUUAGGAGUCUACUUUCAAGUAGCUGAGUAAUGUGAAAAUUAACAUCUAUUGGCUCAGAUUCCAUUUCCAAAGCUGACUAAAGGGAAAUGGUUUUUAGUAGAAAGGAUUUCAAAGUCUCCUAAAGCUGAAUAUUGCACAAGUGUUAAAUGAUUAAAAAUAUAACUCUCUUUAUGUUAGUAGGACAAAGAAAGGGAAGGAGGGAGAAAAGCAAAGGGCUGAGAGGGAAAGGAGAAGGGAGAAAGGUACCAAAUUUCUGAGGUCAAAGUUUUGUACAUUUCCAUGUCCUACCCCCAUAUACUCUACCACACAGAAUAAUAAAUCUAUUAGUCUUUAUGACUGGGAGGAACCUGGCUCAUACAAUCUGCUAAAUGAAACAAGGAACAAAUACUGGGCAGGACCCUGUCUGGUUCCAUGGUUCCAUGAUUUUAUAAGGACUCAGAAUAUAGGAAGAACAUCUUUUUAGAUUGUAACAGAUGAAAUUUCAAUUCUAAACUUUUGGAAGAAAGUCAUCCUACCUAUUUCUACGUUUGAAACUGUUUUCAUACUCAGAGGACAAGCAUUAUAAUUUGUCUGUUUAUAGAUAGAGACAUUUAAAAUUCUAUAUAGAACAGAGUUACCAUAGCAGCCUUAAGACUACUGGCUUUUAAAAGUCCUGCUUGGAAGUCUGGCCCUGGGUUGCAGCGUGGGAUCUUUGAUUUUGAGGGACUUUCCACCAUUCCUAAAAUCAUUAAAUCCUCAUUACAAGUAUGAUCAAGUGCUGAGUCUUGCUAAUUCCCUCAGUGAAUCACCGAGCUUGGAGACUGUACCAUGACCACCCAGUGCAGCCAAAUUUGACAACUCUCCCCUCCCUGACAUGGAGGCAUGGACACCCCACGAAGUAGAGGUUGUAAUAGCCACACAAAUCUCGAAUCCAGCAUCUUGGCAGGCAAAACAAAUGAGUGGAAAACCUGAGAACCAAGAACUUGUGAAUCAUUGAACCUCCUCAGCCAAAUGCAAGUAUGUACGGUGCCAUGUGACCCAGUGCACUCACCUUGGGAGAAACACUGGUUUCUGAGCCAGAUGCUCUCGCAGCUCAGGGGAGGUAGUGUCGGAAUUCAUGUAGCGCUCCACAUAGUCUGACCAGCGCUGGGGUCGGAAACAAAAGCAAAAAUGGAAAAGGUGAUAAAAACUAAGCAAUGCCUCAACAUGUACUGUAGUAAACAAUAGGAUUAAAAUGUCUAAAGUCUGUAUAAAUUUCAAGAUCAAAUACUUUUCCCCAAUGACAUGUUUGUUAUUGUUAUUAAAAUAUAGAUUUUAAAUUUCUGUUAACCAGCAGACAGUAAGUUUUGCUGCAUGCUUAAUUUAUCAGAAAUGGUAAGUGGGUAGAAACUGGCUCACUGCCAAGUUUUAUUUCUCCAUGAAAAAUCUGGAUUUCUGGUAUCUCUUAAAGAUGAAGAGAGGGAGAAGGAAAAGAAGGAACAACAGGGAGAAGAGUAAAAAGAUUUGGCAAUAAAAGCCAGUAUCUACACCAAAUAGGUUUCUUCAUCUACACUGCAGCCUGCCCUGGGCUUCCCAUUCAUGUUACCUACCAGGCAAACCACAUUAAAUCACAACUGUCUGCUUUGGGCUCAGAA